UUGAAGGAGUUGCAGGCUUAUCAUGGGCGACACAGUGCUUUGCUCGCACCUUCACGGAGUACAGCAAUGUGGGGAAGCAAGUCGAGGACAGCCUCUCUCGAUUUCUGUCCCGGGGGCGCUAUGCUCUUCCAGCUGACACCUUACAGACAUGUCAGGAAGCAAGGAAAGGUUAUUUUUUCACUCAUCGUUUACAUUUGGGUGAUUAACUUAGUCUUGAAAAAAAAACACGUCAUUUUAAUGACAUUGUGAUAAAUAAAUUUUGGGUCUUUAAAU